rnacentral:rRNA from 1 species
CAGGCCUAACACAUGCAAGUCGAGCGGCAGCGGGAAAGUAGCUUGCUACUUUUGCCGGCGAGCGGCGGACGGGUGAGUAAUGCCUGGGGAUCUGCCCAGUCGAGGGGGAUAACAGUUGGAAACGACUUGCUAAUACCGCAUACGCCCUACGGGGGAAAGGAGGGGACCUUCGGGCCUUUCGCGAUUGGAUGAACCCAGGUGGGAUUAGCUAGUUGGUGGGGUAAUGGCUCACCAAGGCGACGAUCCCUAGCUGGUCUGAGAGGAUGAUCAGCCACACUGGAACUGAGACACGGUCCAGACUCCUACGGGAGGCAGCAGUGGGGAAUAUUGCACAAUGGGGGAAACCCUGAUGCAGCCAUGCCGCGUGUGUGAAGAAGGCCUUCGGGUUGUAAAGCACUUUCAGCGAGGAGGAAAGGUUGGCAGCUAAUAUCUGUCAGCUGUGACGUUACUCGCAGAAGAAGCACCGGC